rnacentral:rRNA from 1 species
CAGGGUGGCAAGCUUUGUUCGGAAUGAUUGGGCGUAAAGACAUCUGUAGGCGGCUUUUAAAGUACGACUGUCAAAUCCCAGAGCUUAACUUUGGACAGGCAGUCGAGAACUUAAAGGCUAGAGUACGGUAGGGGUAAAGGGAAUUCUCCGUGGAGCCGGUUGAAAUGCACAGAGAUGGGGGAAGAACACCAGUUGGCGAAAAGCGCUUUACUAGGCCGUAACUGACGCUGAGAGAUGAAAGCUACGGUAGCGAACAGGAUU